AUGGUAUUGCCUUCAGAACAACAGCACACUACAGAGAUAUAUUAUUUAUAAUGAAAUGCUCUUUUGAGAAGCAGAAAGGACAGUAAGGACCACGACUCCACAAAUGGACUUAGGACUAUGACUGGGCUUGCCUGACACCAGAUCUGUGCCCUGCUCAAGUCAGAGAUCUCUGAAGGGAGGAGGCUUGCUGUGAACCAGGUGAGCUCAGUGUUGAACUUCAACCCUUUCCCAUCCUUAUCUGGAGAGAAUAAAUAAGCAAACCUGUAUUUCCAUAAGUACUCUUCCAUUCAGAAAAUUUCACCAAUAUGAGUGUCCCAUACUCAAGAAAAUGUGUGGUGUAGCUCCCAGCAGAGGUCCAAAUGUACUCUCAGUGGCUUAGUGAAAUGCCACGACAGUAGAUGUGUCUAUAACUAUUUCUUGGUUCAUGAAUGCGUAUUUCUGCCUGGAAGUUUGUGUAUAGGUAGAGCCUGAGAUCAACAUGAAACAGAAUUGCUACAUCCAGACUGACAUAUUUCUGAGCAUGCAAAGGGCAGAGUUGUGGGGAGUGGUUUGGUCUGUAUAUCAUGUCCCUCUGAACCAUUAUCUCAGGUACCAGAUCGAGAGGGAGGGAGAUUGCUUUGUGCCCAGGGGAAGUGAGGGACAUGUCUAUUUCCAUAAGAGGAGAAAGACAGCAUGGGCAUUGCAGCAAAGUCUGAGAACAGCAGGAAAUUAGAAAUUUCCACCAUUUUCAUAAACAUACCCACUACUCUGUAAAACCAGAAAACUGCAAAGAUCUGAUUCCUACUAACCUCCCGUCUGGGGCAUUAGAUACAGACAUAUGUUUUGCCUUUAUCUCUGAUACUGCUUAUACUGGGCUGAGUGACCCAUUCAGGAGCACAGAACAGGACCCAGCACUCCAAAUAUGGCCUCACCAGUGCAGAGCAGAACAGGAUAACUCCUUCAACCUGCUGGCAAUGCUCUGCCUAUAGCAGCCCAGGACACCACAGGCCUUUUUGUCCACAAGUGCACACUGCUAUCUCUUGGCCAGCUUGAGGUUCUGUGGAGCCCCAAAGCAAAUGUAAAAAGCACAGGUAAGAGUUGGGGGUACUUUUAUACCAGUGAUGUACUGGACUGCAAAUGAGCCCAUGGCACAGGGGUUCUUCCCAUAGAACGCCAGAGGUGCUUUCUUAGCAUGUCCUGGUAUCAAACAUAACCCUUUCUCCUUGUUCUUGGGUGUGUCAUGAAAAUUUCCCUUUCUUCCCUCUUAGGUAGCUUCUUGGUUUGACCCUACAUUCUUCUAGUACUCAAGGUGUGCUUGCAUCAUCCCUUACUUUGUUGUAGACCUGGAGUUCAGUGACCACCCUCUGUGCUGAUCAUAUGGGCUUUUGAGACAUUAAGGUUUGAGGCAGAAACCCUCCAGUGUGGUUGCAAAGGGAAGAAGCAUCAAUAUUUCUUCUUUUUCCAGUGCUUUUGCUAUUGUGUGCAGCCACAAGUGGGAGAACUGGCCAGAAUGGGUUGUGAACACAAUCCUGUCGAGGAAAUUUAUUUAAUGCUUUUCUGACUGCAGGCUAGAACUGUGGGUCCAACCUCAUACCCAAGAGCAGGGUAAAGGAUCACAUCCUGUGUGCUCUCCCUUGGGUCCUCAGAUGCUUAGGUUCCCUGCACCAAUAGACAGUGACCAGAAAGCCAUAAUUUAAGUUCUGACGAGGCUGUUUAUAAUACUUAAUUUCAGCUCCUGCCUAAGAUGGAGCAGAGAAUUCCUUCCAGUAAUUCCUUCCUUGAAUGCUGCUUCUCAACUUCUGUUUGAGAUAGAGCAGAUCUCUCAGAAAUAGGCAUCAAGUCUUGCUUGCACAGCACUUUGAGAUGCAGAAUGUUCUGCUUCCCUUGGUAAUCUUUUCAGUCUAAC
ensembl:lncRNA